CCUACGGGUGGCAGCAGUGGGGAAUAUUGCACAAUGGGCGAAAGCCUGAUGCAGCAACGCCGCGUGAGCGAUGAAGGUCUUCGGGUCGUAAAGCUCUGUCCUCAAGGAAGAUAAUGACGGUACUUGAGGAGGAAGCACCGGCUAACUACGUGACAGCAACCGCGGUAAUACGCAGGAGGCUAGCGUUAUACGGAAUUACUGGGCGUAAAGGGUGCGUAGGUGGUUUCUUAAGUCAGAGGUGAAAGGCUACGGCUCAACCGUAGUAAGCCUUUGAAACUGGGAAACUUGAGUGCAGGAGAGGAGAGUGGAAUUCGUGGUGUAGCGGUGAAAUGCGUAGAUAUUAGGAGGAACACCAGUUGCGAAGGCGGCUCUCUGGCCUGUAACUGACGCUGAGGCACGAAAGCGUGGGGAGCAAACAGGAUUAGAUACCCGAGUAGUC
rnacentral:rRNA from 1 species